rnacentral:rRNA from 1 species
GAUAAACGCUGGCGGCGCACAUAAGACAUGCAAGUCGAACGGAAGUCGUUAUACUGAAUUAGAUAUGAACGGAGAACUUGUUCAAAGGGACUUGAAGAUGAUUUAUAACAAUGGCUUUAGUGGCGGACUGGUGAGUAACACGUAAGCAACCUGCCUAUCAGAGGGGAACAACAGUUAGAAAUGACUGCUAAUACCGCAUAUGCCUUGAAUAUCACAUGAUAUAAAAGGGAAAGGAGCAAUCCGCUGAUAGAUGGGCUUGCGUCUGAUUAGAUAGUUGGUGGGGUAACGGCCUACCAAGUCGACGAUCAGUAGCCGGACUGAGAGGUUGAACGGCCACAUUGGGACUGAGAUACGGCCCAGACUCC